rnacentral:rRNA from 1 species
UACAGAGGUCUCAAGCGUUGUUCGGAUUCAUUGGGCGUAAAGGGUGCGUAGGUGGUGGGUAAGUCGGAUGUGAAAUCCCGGGGCUCAACCCCGGAACUGCAUUCGAUACUGCCUUGCUCGAGUACUGGAGAGGAGACUGGAAUUUACGGUGUAGCAGUGAAAUGCGUAGAUAUCGUAAGGAAGACCAGUGGCGAAGGCGAGUCUCUGGACAGUUACUGACACUGAGGCACGAAGGCCAGGGGAGCAAACGGG